rnacentral:rRNA from 1 species
GAUGAACGCUGGCGGCGUGCCUAAUACAUGCAAGUCGAGCGAACAGACGAGGAGCUUGCUCCUCUGACGUUAGCGGCGGACGGGUGAGUAACACGUGGAUAACCUACCUAUAAGACUGGGAUAAUUUCGGGAAACCGGAGCUAAUACCGGAUAAUAUAUUGAACCGCAUGGUUCAAUAGUGAAAGACGGUUUUGCUGUCACUUAUAGAUGGAUCUGCGCCGCAUUAGCUAGUUGGUAAGGUAACGGCUUACCAAGGCAACGAUGCGUAGCCGACCUGAGAGGGUGAUCGGCCACACUGGAGCUGAGACACGGUCCAGACUCCUGCGGGAGGCAGCAGUAGGGAAUCUUCCGCAAUGGGCGGAAGCCUGACGGAGCAGCGCCGCGUGAGUGAUGAAGGUCUUCGGAUCGUAAAACUCUGUUAUUAGGGAAGAACAAAUGUGUAAGUAGCUGUGCACGUCUUGACGGUACCUGAUCAGAAAGCCACGGCUAACUACGUG